GCAGGUGGUUGUCGGUCACUGGGAGAACAAUUGCUGAUUUGUUUAUAAUCAAGGGAGAAGUGCAGAGAGAUCAGUAAGACGACCCUGGAUUUCAUCAGGAGUGCCUGUAAUGACUCCAUGUGAGCUUGAAUUAAUGAUCAGGAUGAUGACCAGCCGUGAUUGUGCUUUGGAAACAUGUCUUAGCCUCCAGCUAAACUGCUCAUCCAUGAUCAGUCAAUGGUAGUGGGGCCCACGGAGGACGAUCGGAGUGUGUGUGCGUGUGCCUGGUCACCCGUGAGUGUCAUCCAAGGUCUCCUCUGGAGCCCAGCCAACCUUUAUUACUGAACAGAAGAGGGACACAGGCCUGUCACAGGCAAAGUGAUAAAGCAUCAUUACCACACUGCAGAGGAGGAAUGAGGACAGCCUGCUCUGACACAACUCCUUUCAUAAAGAGCUUCGCUCUUAACAUAUUGGACAGCCAGUCAAAGAAUUCCAGCAAAGAACAAAAUGACUAGUCCGGCGAAAUCCUUUACUGGUAGUGACAUACCCUCUUUCAUUAAACCCCACUGUGCUGUACUGCACCACAGGAAGGGCUCAGACUCAGACUCUUUGCAUGACAGAUGAAAUAUUUCAUUUCACAAAGCAAGUCAUUUGCACCAUAAUAUGAUGAAUCUGAACGAUCUGGUCAUAA